rnacentral:rRNA from 1 species
AGUGAACGCUGGCGGUAGGCCUAACACAUGCAAGUCGAACGGCAGCACAGUAAGAGCUUGCUCUUACGGGUGGCGAGUGGCGGACGGGUGAGGAAUACAUCGGAAUCUACUUUUUCGUGGGGGAUAACGUAGGGAAACUUACGCUAAUACCGCAUACGACAUACGGGUGAAAGCAGGGGAUCUUCGGACCUUGCGCGAUUGAAUGAGCCGAUGUCGGAUUAGCUAGUUGGCGGGGUAAAGGCCCACCAAGGCGACGAUCCGUAGCUGGUCUGAGAGGAUGAUCAGCCACACUGGAACUUAGACACGGUCCAGACUCCUACGGGAGGCAGCAGUGGCGAAUAUUGGACAAUGGGCGCAAGCCUGAUCCAGCCAUACCGCGUGGGUGAAGAAGGCCUUCGGGUUGUAAAGCCCUUUUGUUGGGAAAGAAAAGCAGCAGGUUAAUACCCCGCUGUUCUGACGGUACCCAAAGAAUAAGCACCGGCUAACUUCGUG